GUGAACCGGUUCGCUGUUAUCAUUGCUGAGGAUGUAGUGUUGUAGUUGAUUCUCGCCGGACGACACCAUGUAAAUUAUGUGAAGAGUAUCACAAAAAUCAUUCAUUGCUCCAAAGGAAAAAGCAACGUUGCUACGGUUACUCCAACGUGAGUAUUAUUUGACUUAUUGGCGAUAGGAUGCUGGAAUUUUCAUAUCCAACCAGGAUGUGUGACAAAGUUUUCACUCAUCAGGGUCGGAGUGGGAUUCAUUAGGGUGAAUUCAGCCUAUUUCCUCACCUUUUAUGGCGAAGAGUUAGGAAAGUUUUGGCCUCGUGCAGUUCAGCGACAACGUAUCCGAAGUCCAUCCGUUCACGAUGCAGCCGUUGAGAUGACCUCGAUCUGAAGGAUCAUAGCCAAGCACGUGCUUAUGUUGCCGUUGUCCUCCAACUCCCUCUCUUCUUUCGAAUUUAGUAAGAGAUCUAUGACCUGCAUGAGCCUAUCUGGAACAGCCGUUUUGAUGAAACAAUGGAGGUUGAAGUUGUCCAUAUACAUGCUCUCCGUGGAUCUCUUUUCUGUGAACAAUUCGAGCAAGGGAACCCCGUAGCUGUAGACAUCGACAUUGGUUGAUAAUUGUCAUAUUCUGCAACAUACAUUAUGAUGAUCUGGCCAA